rnacentral:rRNA from 1 species
GCUUGACAUAUACAGGAAUAUGGCAGAAAUGUCAUAGCCGCAAGGUCUGUAUACAGGUGGUGCAUGGUUGUCGUCAGCUCGUGUCGUGAGAUGUUGGGUUAAGUCCCGCAACGAGCGCAACCCUCGUUCUGUGUUGCCAGCAUUUAGUUGGGGACUCACAGGAGACUGCCGGGGUUAACUCGGAGGAAGGUGGGGAUGACGUCAAAUCAUCAUGCCCCUUAUGUCUUGGGCUGCACGCAUGCUACAAUGGCUGGUACAAACGGCUGCGAUACCGCAAGGUGGAGCGAAUCCGAUAAAGCCAGUCUCAGUUCGGAUUGGGGUCUGCAACUCGGCCCCAUGAAGUCGGAGUUGCUAGUAAUCGUAGAUCAGCAACGCUACGGUGAAUACGUUCCCGGGGCUUGUACACACCGCCCGUCACGUCACGAAAGUCGGUAACACCCGAAGUCAGUGCCCAA